rnacentral:rRNA from 1 species
GCGGACAGUGUCUGGUGGGUAGUUUGACUGGGGCGGUCUCCUCCUAAAGAGUAACGGAGGAGCACGAAGGUUGGCUAAUCCUGGUCGGACAUCAGGAGGUUAGUGCAAUGGCAUAAGCCAGCUUGACUGCGAGCGUGACGGCGCGAGCAGGUGCGAAAGCAGGUCAUAGUGAUCCGGUGGUUCUGAAUGGAAGGGCCAUCGCUCAACGGAUAAAAGGUACUCCGGGGAUAACAGGCUGAUACCGCCCAAGAGUUCAUAUCGACGGCGGUGUUUGGCACCUCGAUGUCGGCUCAUCACAUCCUGGGGCUGAAGUAGGUCCCAAGGGUAUGGCUGUUCGCCAUUUAAAGUGGUACGCGAGCUGGGUUUAGAACGUCGUGAGACAGUUCGGUCCCUAUCUGCCGUGGGCGCUGGAGAACUGAGGGGGGCUGCUCCUAGUACGAGAGGACCGGAGUGGACGCAUCACUGGUGUUCGGGUUGUCAUGCCAAUGGCACUGCCCGGUAGCUAAAUGCGGAAGAGAUAAGUGCUGAAAGCAUCUAAGCACGAAACUUGCCCCGAGAUGAGUUCUCCCUGAGACUUUAAGUCUCCUGAAGGAACGUUAAAGACGAUGACGUUGAUAGGCCGGGUGUGUAAGCGCAGCGAUGCGUUGAGCUAACCGGUACUAAUGAACCGUGAGGCUUAACCUUACAACGCCGAAG